rnacentral:rRNA from 1 species
GAUGAACGCUGGCGGCGUGCCUAAUACAUGCAAGUCGAGCGAACAGAUGAGGAGCUUGCUCCUCUGACGUUAGCGGCGGACGGGUGAGUAACACGUGGAUAACCUACCUAUAAGACUGGGAUAACUUCGGGAAACCGGAGCUAAUACCGGAUAAUAUAUUGAACCGCAUGGUUCAAUAGUGAAAGACGGUUUUGCUGUCACUUAUAGAUGGAUCCGCGCUGCAUUAGCUAGUUGGUAAGGUAACGGCUUACCAAGGCAACGAUGCGUAGCCGACCUGAGAGGGUGAUCGGCCACACUGGAACUGAGACACGGUCCAGACUCCUACGGGAGGCAGCAGUAGGGAAUCUUCCGCAAUGGGCGAAAGCCUGACGGAGCAACGCCGCGUGAGUGAUGAAGGUCUUCGGAUCGUAAAACUCUGUUAUUAGGGAAGAACAUAUGUGUAAGUAACUAUGCACGUCUUGACGGUACCUAAUCAGAAAGCCACGGCUAACUACGUG